rnacentral:tRNA from 1 species
CAAGGAAUAGUUUAAUUUAAAAUUUUAAUUUUGGAGAUUAAAGAUGGGAGUAUCUCUUUUCCUUGA